rnacentral:RNase_P_RNA from 1 species
GAGAGGGAGAGAGCGGCCGACGGUGACUUAAAUGUUGCUGAGGAAAGUCCCCCCACCCACCGGUCACGCAGCCGUACGCAAGUACGGGUGGCGAGAGUCACGGCAAUGGCACAGAAACGACACGGCCUGUUUUUAGCAAUGAUGCGACCCGAGCCUGUAAAGGCAAGAAGCACGGACAACCGUGCGAGUAACUCGCUGAGCGUCUGAGGAACAGGAUACGUUGGAACGACGAAUCCCUGCGGGUGCAAGCCAGAACAGGGCAAAUGGAUAGUCCGGUAUCCGCCCGGGUAUGGCGCAGAGCUGAAUGCCGCUAAAACUAAAGGAGGCUUACUCCUCCCACUC